rnacentral:rRNA from 1 species
UUGACCUCGAAUCAGGUAGGAAUACCCGCUGAACUUAAGCAUAUCAAUAAGCGGAGGAAAAGAAACCAACCGGGAUUACCUCAGUAACGGCGAGUGAAGCGGUAACAGCUCAAAUUUGAAAUCUGGCUCCUCUGGAGUCCGAAUUGUAAUUUGUAGAAGAUGCUUUGGGUUGUGGGUUCGGCCUAAGUUCCUUGGAACAGGACGUCAUAGAGGGUGAGAAUCCCGUAUGUGGCCGAGGCCCGCGCCUAUGUAAAGCUCUUUCAACGAGUCGAGUUGUUUGGGAAUGCAGCUCAAAAUGGGUGGUAAAUUUCAUCUAAAGCUAAAUAUGGGCCAGAGACCGAUAGCGCACAAGUAGAGUGAUCGAAAGAUGAAAAGCACUUUGGAAAGAGAGUUAAACAGUACGUGAAAUUGUUGAAAGGGAAGCGCUUGCACCCAGACUUGGGCGCUGCUGAUCACCUUGAGGUCUCCUCGAGUGCACUCGACAGCGCACAGGCCAGCAUCGGUUCGGGUGGCUGGAUAAAGGCCGUAGGAACGUAGCUCUCUUCGGGGAGUGUUAUAGCCUACGGUGCCAUGCAGCCCAGCCGGACCGAGGACCGCGCCUUCGGGCUAGGAUGCUGGCGUAAUGGGUGUAAGCGACCCGUCUUGAAACACGGACCAAGGAGUCUAACAUCUAUGCGAGUGUUUGGGUGGUAAACCCAUACGCGGAAUGAAAGUGAACGUAGGUGAGAACCCCCUUUGGGGGCGCAUCAUCGACCGAUCCUGA